rnacentral:sRNA from 1 species
UUAUAUUACAAAAAGUAUUUACAAGCUCACAUCUCGUCAUUUUCUCACUCUUAAAAUUUUACUCUCCCUUAUCUCUAAAACUUCAGCCGCCGCCUGCGUUUAGGGUUACCGGUUCCGGUGGCUUUCUCAGCACCGGAACCGAAGUCUUUUGUUUUGCUCUUAUUCUAUCUUUUUUCUUUAGACACAUCUGAGAGAUUUUUUUCCAACGGUUGUGAAUCUGAAUUUUCAGAUCUAGAUAUUUAAAGUCUAAAACUUUUUCUUUUUAGACUUUGUAUAUUUCGUUUGAACUCUUGGAUUUUGGGUCUGGGAAGUACUUGAUCAGAUGUGAUGUAAUUUGUUAGAUCGGUUUUUUUCCCCUUUGUUUCAUUUAAAUAUGUUUUUAGUUCCUGGAAGGUCCCAUGUACUCUCCGGCUUUUAGAAGAGUGUUUCUCUUGUCAGCUCUUGUACUCAGAUCUUCUAUCAAUGAAAUCUAUAUUUCCAGUGAAAAAAAAAAUAGUUAUAGAUAGAUGUUGGUCUGAGACUCUCCGACUCAU